UACGAAGGGGGCUAGCGUUGCUCGGAAUGACUGGGCGUAAAGGGCGCGUAGGCGGCUCAUACAGUCAGAUGUGAAAUUCCUGGGCUUAACCUGGGGGCUGCAUUUGAUACGUGUGGGCUUGAGUGGGGAAGAGGGUCGUGGAAUUCCCAGUGUAGAGGUGAAAUUCGUAGAUAUUGGGAAGAACACCGGUGGCGAAGGCGGCGACCUGGUCCUUGACUGACGCUGAGGCGCGAAAGCUAGGGGAGCGAACGGG
rnacentral:rRNA from 1 species